rnacentral:rRNA from 1 species
UACGUAGGGUGCAGGCGUUAAUCGGAAUUACUGGGCGUAAAGCGUGCGCAGGCGGUUUCUUAAGUCAGAUGUGAAAGCCCCGGGCUUAACCUGGGAACUGCGUUUGAAACUGGGAGACUUGAGUGUGGCAGAGGGGGGUGGAAUUCCACGUGUAGCAGUGAAAUGCGUAGAUAUGUGGAGGAACACCGAUGGCGAAGGCGGUUCUCUGGGCCUGUUCUGACGCUGAGGAGCGAAAGCAUGGGGAGCGAACAGG